rnacentral:pre_miRNA from 1 species
AGAUAAAAAUUUCAUUCAUCUGUACGGUUAAAAACUGACGUGGUUGACGAAAUAACUAGACAGUAACACGUGAUGUGUCACGUUUACAUCAUGCUGAUGUAUAAUGACCAAUUUUUAAUAAUAAAAACAGAUAGAAUUUUUAACA